AGUCACUGACAUUAGAUACCCGGGUAGUCCCAGCCGUAAACGAUGCGCGUUAGGUGUAUCGACGACCACGAGUCGUCGAGGUGCCGAAGGGAAACCGUGAAACGUGCCGCCUGGGAAGUACGGUCGCAAGGCUGAAACUUAAAGGAAUUGGCGGGGAGCACCACAACAGGUGGAGCCUGCGGUUUAAUUGGAUUCAACGCCGGACAUCUCACCGGAUAAGACAGCUGAAUGAUUGUCAAUCUGAAGGUUUUACAUGACUAGCUG
rnacentral:rRNA from 1 species